rnacentral:rRNA from 1 species
AACGAACGCUGGCGGCGUGCCUAACACAUGCAAGUCGAACGAGAAAGGGGCUUCGGCUCCGAGUAAAGUGGCGCACGGGUGAGUAACACGUGGGUAACCUGCCUCUAAGAUUGGGAUAACUCGUCGAAAGAUGAGCUAAUACCGGAUAAGACCACAGUUCCCGCGGGAACAGGGGUCAAAGGUAGCCUCUGCUUGCAAGCUAUCACUUAGAGAUGGGCCUGCGCACCAUUAGCUAGUUGGUAGGGUAACGGCCUACCAAGGCAAAAUUGGUUAACUGGGCUGAGAGGAUGAUCAUCGACACUGGAACUGAGACACGGUCCAGACUCAUACGGGAUGCAGCAGUGGGGAAUAUUGCGCACUAGGCGAAAGCUUGACGCAGCAACGCCGCGUGAGUGAUGAAGGCCUUCGGGUCGUAAAGCUCUGUCGGGAGGAACGAAUGCUCCCAAGGUUAACAGCCUCGGGAGGUGACGGUACCUUCAAAGGAAGCACCGGCUAACUCUGUGCCAGCAGCCGCCGCAGUAA